rnacentral:pre_miRNA from 1 species
ACCGUGGCUUUAGAUUGUUACUGUGCGGACGUGGGUUUGGUAACAGUCUACAGCCAUGGUUG